CCUACGGGGGGCAGCAGUGAGGAAUAUUGGUCAAUGGCCGAGAGGCUGAACCAGCCAAGUCGCGUGAGGGAAGACGGCCCUACGGGUUGUAAACCUCUUUUGUCGGGGAGCAAAGCGAGUCACGUGUGAAUCAUUGAGAGUACCCGAAGAAAAAGCAUCGGCUAACUCCGUGCCAGCAGCCGCGUUAAUACGGAGGAUGCGAGCGUUAUCCGGAUUUAUUGGGUUUAAGGGGUGCGCAGGCGGAGGUGCAAGUCAGCGGGAAAAUUGCGGGGCUCAACCCCGUACUGCCGUUGAAACUGCAUGCCUUGAGUGCGCGAGAAGUAUGCGGAAUGCGUGGUGUAGCGGUGAAAUGCAUAGAUAUCACGCAGAACUCCGAUUGCGAAGGCAGCAUACCGGCGCGCAACUGACGCUCAUGCACGAAAGCGUGGGUAUCGAACAGGAUUAGAUACCCGAGUAGUC
rnacentral:rRNA from 1 species